UACGAAGGGGGCUAGCGUUGCUCGGAAUCACUGGGCGUAAAGCGCACGUAGGCGGUUUGUUAAGUCAGGGGUGAAAUCCUGGAGCUCAACUCCAGAACUGCCUUUGAUACUGAAGAUCUCGAGUCCGGGAGAGGUGAGUGGAACUGCGAGUGUAGAGGUGAAAUUCGUAGAUAUUCGCAAGAACACCAGUGGCGAAGGCGGCUCACUGGCCCGGUACUGACGCUGAGGCACGAAAGCGUGGGGAGCAAACAGG
rnacentral:rRNA from 1 species